UACGAAGGGGGCGAGCGUUGUUCGGAUUUACUGGGCGUAAAGGGCGCGUAGGCGGCUUGUCAAGUCACUUGUGAAAUCUCUGGGCUUAACCCAGAACGGCCAAGUGAAACUGACAUGCUAGAGUGCAGAAGGGGCAAUCGGAAUUCUUGGUGUAGCGGUGAAAUGCGUAGAUAUCAAGAGGAACACCUGAGGUGAAGACGGGUUGCUGGGCUGACACUGACGCUGAGGCGCGAAAGCCAGGGGAGCAAACGGG
rnacentral:rRNA from 1 species